rnacentral:rRNA from 1 species
AGAGUUUGAUCUUGGCUCAGGACGAACGCUGGCGGCGUGCCUAAUACAUGCAAGUCGAGCGAGCUUGCCUAGAUGAUUUUAGUGCUUGCACUAAAUGAAACUAGAUACAAGCGAGCGGCGGACGGGUGAGUAACACGUGGGUAACCUGCCCAAGAGACUGGGAUAACACCUGGAAACAGAUGCUAAUACCGGAUAACAACACUAGACGCAUGUCUAGAGUUUGAAAGAUGGUUCUGCUAUCACUCUUGGAUGGACCUGCGGUGCAUUAGCUAGUUGGUAAGGUAACGGCUUACCAAGGCAAUGAUGCAUAGCCGAGUUGAGAGACUGAUCGGCCACAUUGGGACUGAGACACGGCCCAAACUCCUACGGGAGGCAGCAGUAGGGAAUCUUCCACAAUGGACGAAAGUCUGAUGGAGCAACGCCGCGUGAGUGAAGAAGGGUUUCGGCUCGUAAAGCUCUGUUGGUAGUGAAGAAAGAUAGAGGUAGUAACUGGCCUUUAUUUGACGGUAAUUACUUAGAAAGUCACGGCUAACUACGUGCCAGCAGCCGCGGUAAUACGUAGGUGGCAAGCGUUGUCCGGAUUUAUUGGGCGUAAAGCGAGUGCAGGCGGUUCAAUAAGUCUGAUGUGAAAGCCUUCGGCUCAACCGGAGAAUUGCAUCAGAAACUGUUGAACUUGAGUGCAGAAGAGGGGAGUGGAACUCCAUGUGUAGCGGUGGAAUGCGUAGAUAUAUGGAAGAACACCAGUGGCGAAGGCGGCUCUCUGGUCUGCAACUGACGCUGAGGCUCGGAAGCAUGGGUAGCGAACAGGAUUAGAUACCCUGGUAGUCCAUGCCGUAAACGAUGAGUGCUAAGUGUUGGGAGGUUUCCGCCUCUCAGUGCUGCAGCUAACGCAUUAAGCACUCCGCCUGGGGAGUA